GUGCUUACUUCAGCAGCACAUACACUAAAAUCGGAAUAAUACAGAGAAGAUUAGCAUGGCCCCUGUGCAAAGAUGACUGUUGUUUGUUUGUUUGUUUGUUUGUUUGU